rnacentral:rRNA from 1 species
UGUGUCUGCGGGCGGCCCUACACAUGCAGUCGAGCGGCAGCGGGAAAGUAGCUUGCUACUUUUGCCGGCGAGCGGCGGACGGGUGAGUAAUGCCUGGGGAUCUGCCCAGUCGAGGGGGAUAACUACUGGAAACGGUAGCUAAUACCGCAUACGCCCUACGGGGGAAAGCAGGGGACCUUCGGGCCUUGCGCGAUUGGAUGAACCCAGGUGGGAUUAGCUAGUUGGUGAGGUAAUGGCUCACCAAGGCGACGAUCCCUAGCUGGUCUGAGAGGAUGAUCAGCCACACUGGAACUGAAACACGGUCCAGACUCCUACGGGAGGCAGCAGUGGGGAAUAUUGCACAAUGGGGGAAACCCUGAUGCAGCCAUGCCGCGUGUGUGAAGAAGGCCUUCGGGUUGUAAAGCACUUUCAGCGAGGAGGAAAGGUUGGUAGCUAAUAACUGCCAGCUGUGACGUUACUCGCAAAAAAAGCACCGGCUAACUCCGUGCCAGCAGCCGCGGUAAUACGGAGGGUGCAAGCGUUAAUCGGAAUUACUGGGCGUAAAGCGCACGCAGGCGGUUGGAUAAGUUAGAUGUGAAAGCCCCGGGCUCAACCUGGGAAUUGCAUUUAAAACUGUCCAGCUAGAGUCUUGUAGAGGGGGGUAGAAUUCCAGGUGUAGCGGUGAAAUGCGUAGAGAUCUGGAGGAAUACCGGUGGCGAAGGCGGCCCCCUGGACAAAGACUGACGCUCAGGUGCGAAAGCGUGGGGAGCAAACAGGAUUAGAUACCCUGGUAGUCCACGCCGUAAACGAUGUCGAUUUGGAGGCUGUGUCCUUGAGACGUGGCUUCCGGAGCUAACGCGUUAAAUCGACCGCCUGGGGAGUACGGCCGCAAGGUUAAAACUCAAAUGAAUUGACGGGGGCCCGCACAAGCGGUGGAGCAUGUGUUUAAUUCGAAUGCAACGCGAGAACCUUACCUUGGCCUUGACAUGUCUGGAAUCCUUGCAGAGAUGCGGGAGUGCCUUCGGGAAUCAAAAACACAGUGCUGCAUGGCUGUCGUCAGCUUCGUGUCGUGAGAUGUUGGGGUUAAGUCCCGCAACGAGCGCCACCCCCUGUCCUUUGGUGCCAUGCACGUAUGGUGGCAACCUCAAGGGAGACUGCGGUGAUAACGGAAGAAGUGGGAUGACUCCAGUCAUCCUGCUCUACGGUCAGGCUAACCCGGUCUACAAUGCCGUUACAGAGUGUCAUCACGAUCUAUGC